UAGAUACCCUAUUAUAAAAAUUUAAAUUAAUUUACUAAAAAAUUAAUAGUUAUGUUCUUUAAAUUUAAAAAAUUUGGCGGUAUUUUAGUCUUAUUAGAGGAACCUGUUUUUUAAUUGAUAAUCCACGAUUAAUUUUACUUAUUUUAUAUAAUUCAUAUAUCGCUGUCAUGAAUAUAUUUAAAAAUUUAUUUUCUUUAUUUAUUAUUAUAAUUUAUGUUAAGUCAAGAUGUGGUUAAUAAAUAAGUUUAUAAUGGGUUACAUUAAAUUUUAUUUUUGGAUUUUAAAUGAAAAUUAUAAUGAAAUUGGAUUUAAUAGUAAAUUUAUUUAUUUAA
rnacentral:rRNA from 1 species